CAUGUCUCUCACGACCCUCCCCACUGCCCUUGAGGACCAGCCCUCUGUGACGAUUGUCCCUGCUCUUCCCUUCAGGCACACUUCCUUAAUCUGAUCCACCAUCUUCACUGCCAAUGCGGCCAGGCUGAGAGCGCCCCCUCCAGGAGGACUCGAGGAACAGCAGCCAGUACAAAUUCCUCAAGGCAGGAGCAGCCUUCAUCCAGAUGUUCACUAAAUGUGCACAAGGGUCACACCUCAGGACACAAUGGGACCACAGGGACAGAGGACUGCCUGGGGGGUUCCGGCAAAAUUAAUAAAGUUCAUCUGGAAGGCAGGGGCACAGAAGAGAAGAGAGCAAGGUCAUGCCUGCCUCUGGGAAAAGUAGUAUCUGCAUCCACACGAUGCGUUCAGACACCCCAAAGCCUCCAGCCAUGCUCAGCUUAACCCGGGACCUCAGCUCGACUUUGUCACACCCUACAAAACAUCACCAUGUAGUCUCAUCAGUAAUUCCAGCCCUGAUUCAGCCAGACAACCUGAACCUUAGUCACUGGUAUGCUGUCCACGAAAACACACACUAGUUGCACACGCCACAUCGCAUUUCAGUUGCUCAACAGCCAUGCGUGGCUAGUGACUACCUUGUUGAAAAAUACAGACAUAGGAUGUCUCUAUCUUUACAGGUUUGUCAUCUAACACUGACCCAUAGAGUGUAUACACGUAUACACACGUGCAUGCUUGCUUGGGAAGGCUAUAACCACACAGUGGACAGCGAAGGUCUGAGGGAAGACCCAGAGGAUGGAGAGCAGCGUUGCUCCAGAGCAGGGGUCAGAAACCAUCAAGUGAUACUGAGAACAGUGAGAUUAAGAGAUGGCCAGAAGCUGCCCCGGUGGUGUUUGUGACAACUGGCACUCGCAGAGUGCACACUGUGUGCGUGCCAGGCAGCGUACUAAACUCUUUUCAGCCAUCUUCCCCUCAAAAGCACCCCAGAGACAAUGUAAUAAAUACACAAAUGGAUGCUCGCAAAAGCAUUUUGGUUUCCUUGAGGCCACAUGAGGGAAUAGAACUGAGGUACAAGUCCAUGCGGUCAGACAGCUUCAGAACUCACACAUAGCGUCCUGUCCCCCGUGGAGCGGAGAUGCUUGGCUUUUAGAGCUGCCACCUUUGCAUUUGUACAGAGCAAGCAUGAAGGCUAGGGAGAGAGCUACUGCCUCCUACCAAGCUG